GAACGCACGGGGGACCUGACCAAACAGCGACAAUAACCUACCUCUAAAGGCAUGGGAAUCAACUGCAAUUUGUCACGUAGGCUACUAAUAGACAAACAUUUCCCAUCAUGAUGUAAAUCCACCGUCUGCAUGGAAAUUAAACGUCUGGUUUGCAUAUGUACCGUCACUUUCCCCCUUCAUUUCCAUGAAGUUGGCAGAAGCAAAGUCGACCUCUGGAGAAAGCGAUCCUAACAGAAACACGAAACUUCUGCGGAGAGAAAGCGGUCAGCCGAGGCAGGGUGAUUAAAAAUACAGCCAGCGCUGAACUGUGUGGAAUAGCGACCUCGGUGAUGACUUGACUUUGUGACAUGCAGAGCUGGUUCAGGAAGUCACACAUCCUGUGAACUAUCUGCAUUUUGUCACUUGAACUGAAAUAUGACACAAAAAUAACUCAGUUAGGACAACUCGAUUCAGUCUUAUACAGUAGGCCUAUAGGGAGAAGCUAUGGAGUGACUUGCUCUCUAUAAUCAUGCGAGCACACGGUAAAGAAGGAUACAUUUAGGCUAUCAGACCCACAGCUCACAUUCUACAAGAAGCUACUUGUGACUUGAAGAUCUUUCUAAAGAUCACUGAUAACAAGGUUCUUAAUUUAAUCCCAAGGCCUACAUAUUCACCGAAAAUAUAACAUCCACUUGUAUGUCUAACAUAACAUAUACAACAUCCCCUUUUAAAAAUGUCUUAUUAAC